ensembl:lncRNA
AUGAAGUUCUGAUCAAUAGAUAGGAGAUGUGGGGAAAAACAAGAGCACAGUGUUUUCCCUGCUUUUUCUAUCUUUUUUUUCUUUUGGGGAGGAUGUAGGGAACAGUGACGUUAUGGCACAAUGCUUGGGCUCUGUCUGAACUAUCUGCUUCCUUUUGCAUAUUGAUCUUUGUUAUUUGCUGUCUUAUUUCUGUCAUAAUACUCACGCAAAGGAAUUUUAUCAGAGAUCUUUGGACUAAUGAAAUGUCUUUGCAUUAGCAAUUAAUUAUUAAAUUGCAUUUUAUAAUGACAAUGGAAAGAAUACCUGAUUAUUAAAAUGAACUAGUAUUUAUUGACCUUCAACUCUCUGCAAAGCCCUUUAUAAGCUUUACCUUGCUAGUUUUCAAAAAUCUCAUAAAAUCCUGAUAACUUAAGUAUUACAUCAAUUUUAAAGAUGAGAAAAUUGAGCCUCAGUGAUAUUAAGGAAACUUGACCAAACUCAAAAAGAAAAUAGGUAGCAGAAAUCCUGUGAAAUCAGAUUGUUAUGAUCAUUAUAGAACUACAGAUGUGAUAAGUUCAUUUGAAUAAUAAAAAAAUAAAGUAAUUUUGGGAAAAUUAAUUAAUUAAUUAAAAAAAACAAAGAAAAUAGGUAGCAGAAAUUUUAUUUAAACUAAUAUCUGUUCUACUUCAGAGCCUGUGCUUCUUUUGCUGCUCCACCAAACAUCUGGGAAGGUCAAGGACUUGAACUCUUUUCUCUGGUUCUGCCAAUGAACGGAGGCAAAGGAAAAGCCUCAUGCUAUGGAAGAUAAUCCCCCACAUGGCUUGCCCAGGAAAAUAAUCUGCUGCCCACUGGAAACUUCACAUAUUUGUCAACUCAAAGGUAAGAGAAUGAAUCAAAUGGUCUGUCCACCUGAAUUAUUUGCUAUUUUAUCUGAUUAUUUUAAAUGGGUUGUGGGAGAAUAUGAUGUGCAAAUAAAAAUGGUAGAUCUUAGCAAUACAGAAGGAAAGGAGGCCUGUUGAGACCUCAAGAUCUGGCCUUGAUUUUGUUAUUAUAGAGAAGUACACCUCCUCUAUAAUCUCAGUUGUGAACGUCCCACCCAGUGCACAUGUGAUGACAAACUGAUUGGAAAGAAAGGAGCAAGACUCUAUGCUCUCAUUAGAAAGGUCUUAGGCCUCCAUGACCUGUCAGUGAGGUUCACUUCAAGAGCAGUGUGUUUGGGCCAAAGGCUAAAGAACAUGUUAGUGUUUAGUAGAUGGAAAAAGAGAUAUCUAAGUAGGGAAGUAAGGGAAUGAGGUUCAAGAGAGAAGGAACUCUCCAAGUAGAAAGAAGACUAUGCAGCAAAGCCCUGGGGGUAAGAGACGGCACAUCUAAAGAACGGAAGAUAACAACAAUAAACAAAUAAAUAAAGAGGUGUGCA